CCACUGAGCCACCCAGGUGCCCCAGCCCUUGUCUUUUUAAGACUGGGAGACAGGAGCAGAGAGACAGACCUUCUCCAACCCCUGCCUCCUUCAGAUCUCCAGUUCAGGUGUAAGAGGGAAGAUUCCAGGAACUCAAGCCCUGUUACUGUGCCCUAGUUCAAGGACGGGCCUCUGUCUAUCUCCGUUGUAC